CGGGAUGUAGCGCAGUUUGGUAGCGCACCGCAUUUGGGAUGCGGGGGUCGCAGGUUCAAAUCCUGUCAUCCCGA
rnacentral:tRNA from 7 species